rnacentral:rRNA from 1 species
CACGGGGGGAGCAAGCGUUGUUCGGAAUUACUGGGCGUAAAGCGCACGUAGGCGGCUUUGUAAGUUAGAGGUGAAAGCCCGGGGCUCAACUCCGGAAUUGCCUUUAAGACUGCAUCGCUAGAAUUGUGGAGAGGUAAGUGGAAUUCCGAGUGUGGAGGUGAAAUUCGUAGAUAUUCGGAAGAACGCCAGUGGCGAAGGCGACUUACUGGACACAUAUUGACGCUGAGGUGCGAAAGCGUGGGGAGCAAACAGG